AACGCGAAGAACCUUACCUGGGCUCGAAAUGUAGUGGAAUCCGGUGGAAACAUCGGCGUCUAGCAAUAGACCGCUAUAUAGGUGCUGCAUGGCUGUCGUCAGCUCGUGCCGUGAGGUGUUGGGUUAAGUCCCGCAACGAGCGCAACCCUUACUCAUAGUUGCUACCCGCAAGGGAGAACUCUAUGAGGACUGCUCCGGAUAACGGAGAGGAAGGUGGGGAUGAGGUCAAGUCAGCAUGGCCUUUAUGUCCAGGGCUACACACGUGUUACAAUGCGCGCCACAAAGCGUCGCGAACCCGCGAGGGGGAGCUAAUCGCAAAAAAGCGCGCUCAGUUCGGAUUGCAGUCUGCAACUCGACUGCAUGAAGCCGGAAUCGCUAGUAAUGGCGCAUCAGAACGGCGCCGUGAAUACGUUCCCGGGCCUUGUACACACCGACUGUAC
rnacentral:rRNA from 1 species